UACGUAGGGCGCAAGCGUUGUCCGGAAUUAUUGGGCGUAAAGAGCUCGUAGGUGGUUUGUUACGUCUGCUGUGAAAACCUAGGGCUUAACCCUGGGCCUGCAGUGGAUACGGGCAGACUAGAGGUAGGUAGGGGAGAAUGGAAUUCCCGGUGUAGCGGUGAAAUGCGCAGAUAUCGGAAGGAACACCUGUGGCGAAAAGCGGCUCACUGGACCAUUACUGACGCUGAGGCACGAAAGCUAGGGGAGCAAACAGG
rnacentral:rRNA from 1 species